UACAGAGGUCUCAAGCGUUGUUCGGAAUUACUGGGCGUAAAGGGCGCGUAGGCGGUUCGUUAAGUCCUGUGUGAAAUCCCCCGGCUCAACUGGGGAACUGCACAGGAAACUAGCGGGCUUGAGUUCGGGAGAGGGAAGCGGAGUUCCGGGUGUAGCGGUGAAAUGCGUAGAUAUCCGGAGGAACACCGGUGGCGAAGGCGCUCUGCUAGGCCGCAACUGACACUGAGGGACGAAAGCUAGGGGAGCGAAUGGG
rnacentral:rRNA from 1 species